rnacentral:rRNA from 1 species
GAUGAACGCUGGCGGCGUGCCUAAUACAUGCAAGUCGAGCGAACAGAUGAGGAGCUUGCUCCUCUGACGUUAGCGGCGGACGGGUGAGUAACACGUGGAUAACCUACCUAUAAGACUGGGAUAACUUCGGGAAACCGGAGCUAAUACCGGAUAAUAUAUUGAACCGCAUGGUUCAAUAGUGAAAGACGGUUUUGCUGUCACUUAUAGAUGGAUCCGCGCCGCAUUAGCUAGUUGGUAAGGUAACGGCUUACCAAGGCAACGAUGCGUAGCCGACCUGAGAGGGUGAUCGGCCACACUGGAACUGAGACACGGUCCAGACUCCUACGGGAGGCAGCAGUAGGGAAUCUUCCGCAAAGGGCGAAAGCCUGACGGAGCAACGCCGCGUGAGUGAUGAAGGUCUUCGGAUCGUAAAACUCUGUUAUUAGAGAAGAACAAAUGUGUAAGUAACUAUGCACGUCUUGACGGUACCUAAUCAGAAAGCCACGGCUAACUACGUG